CGGACGGGUGAGUAACACGUGGAUAACCUACCUAUAAGACUGGGAUAACUUCGGGAAACCGGAGCUAAUACCGGAUAACAUAUUGAACCGCAUGGUUCAAUAGUGAAAGGCGGCUUUGCUGUCACUUAUAGAUGGAUCCGCGCCGUAUUAGCUAGUUGGUAAGGUAACGGCUUACCAAGGCAACGAUACGUAGCCGACCUGAGAGGGUGAUCGGCCACACUGGAACUGAGACACGGUCCAGACUCCUACGGGAGGCAGCAGUAGGGAAUCUUCCGCAAUGGGCGAAAGCCUGACGGAGCAACGCCGCGUGAGUGAUGAAGGUCUUCGGAUCGUAAAACUCUGUUAUCAGGGAAGAACAAAUGUGUAAGUAACUGUGCACAUCUUGA
rnacentral:rRNA from 1 species